CAGUAGCCGCGGUAACACGGAGGGAGCUAGCGUUGUUCGGAAUUACUGGGCGUAAAGCGCGCGUAGGCGGUUACUCAAGUCAGAGGUGAAAGCCCGGGGCUCAACCCCGGAACUGCCUUUGAAACUAGGUGACUAGAAUCUUGGAGAGGUCAGUGGAAUUCCGAGUGUAGAGGUGAAAUUCGUAGAUAUUCGGAAGAACACCAGUGGCGAAGGCGACUGACUGGACAAGUAUUGACGCUGAGGUGCGAAAGCGUGGGGAGCAAACAGGAUUAGAUACCCGCGUAGUCCCUGUCUCUUAUAC
rnacentral:rRNA from 1 species